rnacentral:rRNA from 1 species
UACGAAGGGGGCUAGCGUUGUUCGGAAUCACUGGGCGUAAAGCGCACGUAGGCGGACUUUCAAGUCAGGGGUGAAAUCCCGGAGCUCAACUUCGGAAUUGCCUUUGAUACUGUUGGUCUCGAGUCCGGAAGAGGUGGGUGGAAUUCCUAGUGUAGAGGUGAAAUUCGUAGAUAUGUGGAGGAACACCGAUGGCGAAGGCAGCCCCCUGGGUUAACACUGACGCUCAUGCACGAAAGCGUGGGGAGCAAACAGG